ensembl:lncRNA
GGGUAAAUCAAGCCGUUGCUUCUAGGUAGAUUAUUAGUGGUAGCAGUUGGGUUAGGGAUGGUGGUGCUAACGGGGAGUUUCCUUUUGUUGACAUGUUAAUUUCAGUGCCCACAUUUACCAGGCUGAAACCCAGGGGAAGGAUUUAGCAGAUGAUAUUUAUCUCCUAGAAAUCACCACGAGACCUUCUCAGAAGUGUUUUGUAAGAAGAAGCCAAAAGACUGAACCCUUGAGUGAUGCAUCUUCCCAGUCAUCUGAACUCUGGUCUUGGUCCCAUUUUGCAAGCCUACUCUGUCUACAUGUGGUUGCCUGCAGAAGAGAGGAAUGCAGAAUGGUGUGGAAAAGGGAUAUAACACUAGUUUUACCACCUAAAUAUCCACUGAUUGAUUGGUAGUGGACUCUUAUAAUAUGCUGAGAAAGAUUCUGAAACCAUGUACAGUGGGAAGGAGAUCAGUGACUGAUUAGUCAUGUCUGAAAUGGACCAAGAGAAAGAGGACAGGGAGUGUCUCUUUUUGAUAUAAUGACACUAGAG